GGGGGGGGCAAGCGUUGUUCGGAAUUACUGGGCGUAAAGGGCGCGUAGGCGGUUGGAUAAGUCAGCUGUGAAAACCACGAGCUUAACUCGUGGCCUGCAGUUGAGACUGUCUGGCUUGAGUGUGGGAGAGGAGAGUGGAAUUCCUGGUGUAGCGGUGAAAUGCGUAGAUAUCUGGAGGAAUACCGGUGGCGAAGGCGGCCCCCUGGACAAAGACUGACGCUCAGGUGCGAAAGCGUGGGGAGCAAACAGGAUUAGAUACCCUGGUAGUCCACGCCGUAAACGAUGUCGACUUGGAGGUUGUGCCCUUGAGGCGUGGCUUCCGGAGCUAACGCGUUAAGUCGACCGCCUGGGGAGUACGGCCGCAAGGUUA
rnacentral:rRNA from 1 species